UGCUUAUAGAGAUAAUUAUAGGUAAGGCCUGCUCAAUGAUUGACAUUUAAUAGCUGCAGGAGACUGUACUAAGGUAGCAUAAUCAUUAGUUUUUUAAUUGAGAACUGGAAUGAAGGGUUUAAUGAUCAGAUUUAUUUUUUCUGAGAUCAGAUUGAAUUUUAGCAGAUAGUAAAAAAGCUAUUUAGCUAUUUAGGGACGAGAAGACCCUAUAAAGCUUAAUUUCUCUUUCUCAUUUAAGCUGAGGGAAUAGGAAUUUUAUUGGGGUAAUAAGAUAAGAUCAAGGAUUUUAUUUGGAGAUCCAAAAUUUUUGAGUAUUAGAAUAAGUUACUUUAGGGAUAACAGCAUAAUAAAAUUAAUGGAGUACUUAUUUAUUAAUUUGUUUGUGACCUCGAUGUUGGAUUAAUAUUCUCUAGGGGUGAAGAAGCUCUUGCGAGUAGUCUGUUCGACUAUUAAAAUAUUACA
rnacentral:rRNA from 1 species